CUGUCUCCUAAGGCUAGCCAAUGAAAUUGAACUGCCAGUACAAAAGCUGGCAUAUACAAGCAAGACAAAAAGACCCUGUGGAACUUGAACAAAUUUCUUACGCAGAAUAAGCAAUAGUUUCAGUUGGGACAACUUUAGAAAAAAUAAACUUCCUAAUACACCAAGACCUACAAGUCUAAAACACCACAUACGACCCAGUUACACUGAUUAAUGAACCAAGCUACCCCAGGGAUAACAGCGCCACCUUCUAAAAGAGUCCAUAUCAACAAGAAGAUCUACGACCUCGAUGUUGGAUCAGGGUAUCCCGACGGUGCAGCAGCUGUCAACGGUUCGUUUGUUCAACGACUAACACCCUACGUGAUCU
rnacentral:rRNA from 1 species